UGUGGAUCCUAUAACUUGUGAGCUUUUCAAG
rnacentral:piRNA from 1 species